GAUUAAGGAAUCUAUAAAUAAAGUAUGAAUAAUAAUGAUAAUUGUUUCUGACACAAGGCCAGUAUAUACUAUACACACAGACAAAUGUAUUUCAUGAUAGGAUAUAACCAUACCAUAGACAUCACUUACAGGAAUUCUAUAAGCAAACAACUUUUGGACAGAUUUGAUCAAGUGGAUUAUCGUUCUCAAAAUGAAGAGACCAAACUUGAAAGACAUUUUCUAAUAUGGAUUGAACAUUUUACCAAGAACUUUUUAUCUGAAACUGUCAUGAUAUUGGAGUUGGGUUUCAAAGUCAUGAGAAAAUAGUGAAAACAAUCAAAGAAUUUCUAAGCAAGAGCACUCAGAGAGAGCAAACUACUGCCAAGGUAACACCAACAUCCUCUCAAUGAUUAGUCAGAGAUGAUUUUUAAAAUGAGAAUAUCUGAAAUAAACUCAACUGCUCUCACAAAUGAGAAUACUAAAAAUGAACCUGACUGCUCUCAAAAAUUAAGUAAAAAAAAAAAGAACGAAAAAUAAUGCAGAAUCCUUGUUCAAUACCAGAUUGAUCUCAAAAUCUAAUCAGUUUGUGCCAGUCACAAGGCCAUCUCUGAAAGUUUCAUCCAAAUCCAUCCAGUGGUUCUUGAUAUAUCUUGUCCAAACAAACAAACAUGACUGAAAACAAUACCUCCACCUUUGCUAAGGCGGAGGUAAUAAAGAAAAUGAAACUAUUCUAGUCAACUGCAAAAACAAUUUACAAACAUUUUAAUAGGAUUCUUUUCUCAGCUAAACAUAACCUGCAUUUUCUGCUGUGAUUAAAAUAAGGCUUGCAUUCCUUUAAGAUUUUCCACUUGAUAUACUUCAUUGUACUGUUGUACAAUUCUCAGAGAAUCAGCAGAUUUACCUAAAGUGCAGGAACAAAAUUUUCAGUCCAUACCCACAUGAGAAGAUAUAUAUAUUGUUUUAUGUACAGGUCCCACCAUGAUUAUAAUCACUAGGUUCUCAACCACUGGCCCUUCCAGCAUCACACCCUGAAAAUCCAACAAAGUCUUUAACCAAAACAUACAUCAAUGUACAGAUAUACAUGUGCAACCAAACAUAGGCUUAAAAGUUUGGACACCAACGCUCGCAAAAAACUCCUCCCUACAUAUAUACCAACCCCUUACCCUCCACCUCAUCCCACUGGACUCUUGCUGCUUUACAGUCACUCCAGAUUCUUUAGGAGCCAAGAAAUAUAAUAACCUUGAUAAACCCCUCGCCUUUUAGCCUCCUGCUACUGUGUUUCAUCUUUCUUCACAACAACCACAAGUCCAAUGGGACAUUUUUUUACCUCCAGUAACACAGAGCAGUCACCAUAUUUUUUCCAUACCUGCCAUCUCUGAAGAGAAUAUGGUGUUAGUUAACCCUCUGUUCUUUGAUAUCUGAUUAUCUAAUACCAGCGUGAAACUGAUUUGUAAGAUAGGCUGAAAUCUAUAUUACUGUAUACUUUCAUUAAUGAGAAAUAUAUGAGUGCAUAUUUUUCUGAAUUAUGGAUUCUUGGACGACAAACUUAAGUACAUAACAUAUGUUUAAUAUAAGAAAAGUUGCAGUCCAGUGGUUACAACCCUUUAUAAUAAACAGUAAUCUAGUAUUAUCAGCAAAUAGAACUUUUAUUAUUUUGAGCAAAUCAUUUAUACACACACACAUAUAUUUAUAUAUAUAUAUAUAUAUAUAUAUAUAUAUAUUGCUUCAGCCAUUAGACCAUGUUUGGAUGGUGCUUUUUACGUGCCACCGGCAUGGGGAGCCAGUCAGGCAGCUCUGGCAGCAACCUACGUAUGAAUGGUGCUUACUGCAUGCUACCAGUACUGGUAAUGGCCACAAUAACAAUUUCCAUUUGAUUUGAUUUUGAUUUACUUGACUCAAUAGGUCUCCUGAAGCACAGCAUGUUGCCUGACGAUUCAAAGGUACUUUUUAAAUGGGCUGGUUAUGCGAUACUGGUGUAGGCUACGUCUGUGAUCUCACUUUCCUUGCCGGGUCUUCUCAAUCACAGCAUACCUUCAGAGGUCUCGGCCUUUUGUCAUUGCCUCUGUGAGGCCCAACGUUCAAAGAUCAUGCUUCACUACCUCAUCCCAUGUCUUCCUGAGUCUCCCUCUUCCAUGGGUUCCUCCCACUGUUAGAGUGUGAUACUUCUUCAAACAGCUCUCCUCAUCCAUACAUGGCACAUGCCCAUACCAGCGCAGUCGUCUCUGUUGCACACCACAUCUGAUGCUUCUUAUGCCCAACAUUUCUCUCAGGGGGCUUACAUCCUGUUGUGCGUGCAGACUGACAUUACACAUCUAGCAGAUCAUACUAGCUUCAUUUCUUUCAAGUCUACGCAUGUCUUCAGCAGUCACAGCACCUGUUUCACUGCCGCGUAGCAAUCGGUCUUUUUUUUUUGCCAAAACGGUAAGUUACGGGGAUAUAAACACCAACACUAGCAUACACUAAGCACCUCUAUCGCAACAGAAUGAGUUAGGGAAAAUAAGAUAAUUUGUUGAUCAAUUACUGUUUCAAUACAUGCCAUUUAAAAUAUUUGCGAGAGUUGUGGUACCGCACGCUCGCAAGGGUGUUUGGCUGUUUCAGUGUUUCAACCUAGCGAUCAGACAUGGUAGUGUUUUGGGUUACUUCAAAGCCUUUUUUGAAAAUGUCAGUAUUCCCUGGUGCGAUGUAAUAAAAAAAGGGGGGGGGGGUAUGCACACCUUAUUUUAUUUACUUUUCUUUCUACACAAUUUUUUGGGGGGCAUUUUUUUCUUACUUUUUCUACGGAAAUGUAUUGUGUUCUUCGAUAAAUAACUCGUGAUUUCUUUUUAAAGUUUUGGGGAAUCCCUUAAAUUACCCUAUAUUUUUAUAACACGUUGUUCACCACCUAACGUUUAAGCUCUGAUUACAAAGAUUCCAAAUAUUUUACCGGGAAUACACGAAACGAUAAAUGAGUUUCAUCAUUUCGCUGCAAUAUGUACCAAAUCAAUCUGGUGGUGUCACCUUUGUAAAAAAUAUAUUUCAUACAAUAACAACCUUUAAAAAAAAGUAAUAAAAAUAUAUCUUUUAA